rnacentral:rRNA from 1 species
GGACCCGCACAAGCGGUGGAGCAUGUGGUUUAAUUCGAAGCAACGCGAAGAACCUUACCAAAUCUUGACAUCCCUUUGACGUACACUUAAUCGUGUAUUCCCUUCGGGGCAAAGGUGACAGGUGGUGCAUGGUUGUCGUCAGCUCGUGUCGUGAGAUGUUGGGUUAAGUCCCGCAACGAGCGCAACCCUUAUCUUUAGUAGCCAGCAGUUCGGCUGGGCACUCUAGAGAGACUGCCGGGGAUAACCCGGAGGAAGGCGGGGAUGACGUCAAAUCAUCAUGCCCCUUAUGAUUUGGGCUACACACGUGCUACAAUGGCGUAAACAAAGGGAAGCAGAGUCGUGAGGCCGAGCAAAUCCCAAAAAUAACGUCUCAGUUCGGAUUGUAGUCUGCAACUCGACUACAUGAAGCUGGAAUCGCUAGUAAUCGCGAAUCAGAAUGUCGCGGUGAAUACGUUCCCGGGUCUU